UUCGGGCACAGCGCGCGACGGGAUGGUUCUGUCCAUGGCGCUGUGCUGACCCCAAGUCGCUUAUCGAUCGCCAUGGCGAUUUCCGGCCCGGGGGAUGCCAAAGGUGCCUCUGGCAUCACGCAGAGAGCUCUGGCCAUCGCGCCACAUGCCGGCGAGCACCGGGUGAAGAGCAGAUGAUGGCAGCGGCCAGCGCGCUCACGCAUUCCAGGGGCUGUUUGUUGCCUCCACGCCACGCCCACAACCUGCUCGACGCUGGUCCUCCUCCGUUGAAUGCCCAUGUCCUCUCUACCGAACCCACUGAGCGUUGCUGGCUUGUUCGGGCACGGAGCAUCGCAUGAGUGGAAUACUUCAUGUUAAGCUCACACUGCAGUCUGCACAAGCUGUUUCUUACAAAGGACGGGGUCACGGGGGACAUAUGGUGGAGCACUACAAAGAGGACAGGUUUAAUGCAAUUGUUCGUCCUGCAAAGAUUUUCACCAGCGCAUCAUAUAAGCAGGUGAAGAAACAAGCUACUCUGUACCACUGAAAUGACAGACGGAGAUACUGUGUAGAAGGGUUUUUUCUACUGGCUGCAAAUCUCAAGCUCAUGUCUCUUCAUUUUAUUGAUAUUCUAUAUUGCCUGUACAAUUUGUUUUGUUAUUGCAAUCUUACUUCGUUUUUCUUUAAUUUUAAUCUUAUCUGCCGUUAAAAAUGGGGGAUUCUCUUUAAAGGAGUCCAAAUGUUUCAUCUUUGAUAUAGUUACCUUAAAGAUGGAAAAGGCUUAUUAUCAUUUCAAACUAUAUGAAAUCA